rnacentral:tRNA from 1 species
GACAAGGUGGCUGAAUGGCUAAGGCUACAGAUUGCAAAUCUGUUAUUUAUGAGUUCGAUUCUCAUCCUUGUCU